UUUAUCCUUGACUGGCAUUUUACUGUUCCUGUACUCCAUGCAAUCGAGGUGAGAAUCAUACAAAAAACGCCUUAUACAUAGAGCAGUGUUUCCUGCUCUAGACUUGUGAGUAUAAUUGUAUUUAUUUUACACCAUUGUUUAUCACAUUGACAGCACUAUUGGUGCCAUUUUAUCUUUUCAAAGCAUUUAAGAACUACACUGCACAGACGGCCGCACUUUUCCUGCAUAUCCCAUAUACGGGAUUAUGCUGCUGUAUGCCAUCUAUACUAGAGCUGGUUAUAGCUUUUUUGUGAGUGUAUUACCAUAUAUAUAUAUAUA